rnacentral:misc_RNA from 1 species
AAAUAAAUAAUAUAACAUUAGCAUUACACAACUUUUUCUUUUCCUAUUGCUAUAUCCCCUCUAAGACAGCUCACAGGCAGACCCUUUCCACCCCUUCUGGCAACCUUUGAAACUGGGCAUGCCCAGUGCCCCUUGCAAUAAUGUGACUUAACAAAUGGGACACUGGCCAAAUAUUUAUGAGUAUGCUGAACUUGCGUUCAAGUUAGAAAACAUCAAUACAAUUACAGGUAGACGUUGCACAGCAGGCACUAUUCCUUCUGGAAAAAUGAAAGAAUGAGAUCUGUGUGUACAGAGAAGAGCUGUGUGUCUACGAAGAGCUUCAUGAAUGGCCGAUCACGAUUAGGGAAGGAAUCUAUGAAACUCUCCUUUAAGAGCAAUGACACCUUAUCAUUAUUGGACUGUACAUUUGUAAUUGUGUGAGAGCGUAAGUUAGAACAGAGUGAAUCCAAGUAAGACCUUAACACUGCUAAAAAACCCUUAGCAGAUUCAACCUGUACAUCUGUACAUUCAUAAACUGGCCUUUUCCUUGCCAAAUA